rnacentral:tRNA from 1 species
GGUCCCGUAGCUCAGUUGGAUAGAGCAACAGCCUUCUAAGCUGUGGGCCAUGCGUUCGAAUCGCAUCGGGAUCA